rnacentral:rRNA from 1 species
UUGGCUCAUUACAACAGCCGUUGUUUCUUGGAUCUUGAUUUACUUGGAUAACUGUGGUAAUUCUAGAGCUAAUACAUGCAGCAAAGCUCCGACUUUGCGGGAGGAGCGCAUUUAUUAGACCAAGACCAAUCGGGUUUCGGCCCGUGAUCUGGUGACUCUGAAUAACUAUGCUGAUCACACGGUCCUAGCACCGGUGACAUAUCUUUCAAGUGUCUGCCCUAUCAACUUUCGAUGGUAGUUUAUGCGCCUACCAUGGUUGUAACGGGUAACGGAA